rnacentral:rRNA from 1 species
GUCGGGAAUCUUCCGCAAUGGGCGAAAGCCUGACGGAGCGACGCCGCGUGAGUGAUGAAGGCCUUCGGGUUGUAAAGCUCUGUGGGGAGGGAAGAAUAAGUUCAAGCGAAUACCUUGAAUGAUGACGGUACCUCCUUAGCAAGCACCGGCUAACUCUGUGCCAGCAGCCGCGGCAAGACAGAGGGUGCAAACGUUGUUCGGAUUUACUGGGCGUAAAGCGCGUGUAGGCGGCUUUGCAAGUCGGAUGUGAAAGCCCACGGCUCAACCGUGGAAGUGCAUCCGAAACUGCAUGGCUGGAGUCUCGGAGAGGAAGGUGGAAUGCUUGGUGUAGAGGUGAAAUUCGUAGAUAUCAAGCAGAACACCUGCGGCGAAGGCGGCCUUCUGGACGAUGACUGACGCUGAGACGCGAAAGCGUGGGGAGCAAA